UACGUAGGUGGCAAGCGUUGUCCGGAAUUAUUGGGCGUAAAGCGCGCGCAGGUGGUUUCUUAAGUCUGAUGUGAAAGCCCACGGCUCAACCGUGGAGGGUCAUUGGAAACUGGGGAACUUGAGUGCAGGAGAGAAGAGUGGAAUUCCACGUGUAGCGGUGAAAUGCGCAGAUAUCAGGAAGAACACCCGUGGCGAAGGCGGCUCUCUGGAACGCAACUGACGCUGAGACGCGAAAGCGUGGGAGCAAACAGG
rnacentral:rRNA from 1 species